AGGGUUCGAUUAUGGCUCAGGUUGAACGCUGGCGGCAGGCUUAACACAUGCAAGUCGAGCGGAAACGAUGGGAGCUUGCUCCCAGGCGUCGAGCGGCGGACGGGUGAGUAACGCGUAGGAAUCUGCCCAGUAGAGGGGGAUAGCCCGAGGAAACUCGGAUUAAUACCGCAUACGCCCUACGGGGGAAAGCAGGGGAUCUUCGGACCUUGCGCUAUUGGAUGAGCCUGCGUGAGAUUAGCUAGUUGGUGGGGUAAAGGCCUACCAAGGCGACGAUCUCUAGCUGGUCUGAGAGGAUGAUCAGCCACACUGGGACUGAGACACGGCCCAGACUCCUACGGGAGGCAGCAGUGGGGAAUAUUGGACAAUGGGGGCAACCCUGAUCCAGCCAUGCCGCGUGUGUGAAGAAGGCCUUAGGGUUGUAAAGCACUUUCAGUAGGGAGGAAGGCUCUGUAGUUAAUACCUGCAGGGAUUGACGUUACCUACAGAAGCAGCACCGGCUAACUCCGUGCCAGCAGCCGCGGUAAUAC
rnacentral:rRNA from 1 species